rnacentral:rRNA from 1 species
UCCAGACUCCUACGGGAGGCAGCAGUGGGGCCUCUUGGGCAAUGGGCGCCCGCCUGGCCCCGCAACGCCGCGUGCAGGCAGAAGGCUUUCGGGUUGUAAACUUCUUUUGUCAGGGAAGCGGAGAAGACGGUACCUGACGAAUAAGCCACGGCUAACUACGUGCCAGCAGCCGCGGCAAUACGUAGGGGGCAAGCGUUAUCCGGAUUUACUGGGUGGAAAGGGAGCGGAGACGGCGAAGAAAGUCUGAAGUGAAAGCCCGCGGCGCAACCGCGGAAGGGCGGGGGAAACGGUGGGGCUGGAGGACCGGAGAGGGAAGCGGAAGGCCUAGGGGAGCGGUGAAAGGCGGAGAUAUGAGGAGGAACACCAGGGGCGAAGGCGGCGUACGGGACGGUAACUGACGGUGAGGCGCGAAAGCGGGGGGAGCAAACAGGAGUAGAGACCCCAGUA